rnacentral:rRNA from 1 species
CGGGCCAAGUCCUCUGGAACGGGGCGUCAUGGAGGGUGAGAGCCCCGUACGCCUGGGCCUCUGUCGCCGUCAGAAGCCCCUUCGACGAGUCGAGUUGUUUGGGAAUGCAGCUCCAAGCGGGAGGUAAAUUUCUUCUAAGGCUAAAUAUCGGCCGGAGACCGAUAGCGCACAAGUAGAGUGAUCGAAAGAUGAAAAGCACUUUGGAAAGAGGGUCAAAAAGCACGUGAAAUUGUUGAAAGGGAAGCUCUUGCUGCCAGACUUGCCGCGGUCGYUCAGCCGCCCUCAGGGGCGGUGCACUCGUCCGCUGGCGGGCCAGCGUCGGCUCGAGGGGCCGGACAAAGGCCCCGGGAAUGUGGCCCCCCCCCUAGGGGGGGUGUUAUAGCCCGGGGUGUAAUGCGGCCAGCUCGGGUCGAGGCACGCGUUCGCGAGGACGCUGGCGUAAUGGCCGCAAGCGACCCGUCUUGAAACACGGACCAAGGAGUCUAACGCCUACGCGAGUGUUUGGGCGCAAAACCCAUACGCGUAAUGAAAGUGAACGGAGGUGGGAACCCCCAGAGGGCGCACCAUCGACCGAUCCUGAUGUCUUCGGAUGGAUUUGAGUAAGAGCGUGGUCGUUGGGACCCGAAAGACGGUGAACUAUGCGUGUAUAGGGUGAAGCCAGAGGAAACUCUGGUGGAGGCUCGCAGCGGUUCUGACGUGCAAAUCGAUCGUCAAAUAUGCGUAUAGGGGCGAAAGACUAAUCGAACUGUCUAGUAGCUGGUUCCCGCCGAAGUUUCCCUCAGGAUAGCAGUAACGUAUUCAGUUUUAUGAGGUAAAGCGAAUGAUKAGAGGCCUUGGGGUUGAAACAACCUUGUAAGCAUUAUUAUGACCCCCAACUUCGCGAUCGAGCCUGCGCUAACCGCCGCCGUAACAGAACCUAUUCUCAAACUUUAAAUAUGUAAGAAGCCCUUGUUGCUUAGCUGAACGUGGGCGCUCGAAUGCACCGUUACUAGUGGGCCAUUUUUGGUAAGCAGAACUGGCGAUGCGGGAUGAACCGAAAGCGGGGUUAAGGUGCCGGAGUGGACGCUCAUCAGACACCACAAAAGGUGUUAGUUCAUCCUGACAGCCGGACAGUGGCCAUGGAAGUCGGAAUCCGCUAAGGAGUGUGUAACAACUCACCGGCCGAAUGAACUAGCCCUGAAAAUGGAUGGCGCUCAAGCGUCCCACCCACACCCCGCCGCCGGGGCAGAAGCGAAGCCCCGGCGAGUAGGCGGGCGCGGGGGU